rnacentral:rRNA from 1 species
UUUCCGUAGGUGAACCUGCGGAAGGAUCAUUACAGAGUUCAUGCCCUCUGGGGUAGAUCUCCCACCCUUGUGUAUUAUAACAAAUUGUUGCCUUGGCGGGUGGCGGCAGCGCCGCCUGGGGAUGCCCAGCCUACCCGCCAAAGGACCCUUAACUUCUGUUUAUUUGUGUCGUCUGAGUACCAUGCAAUAAUUAAAACUUUCAACAACGGAUCUCUUGGUUCUGGCAUCGAUGAAGAACGCAGCGAAAUGCGAUAAGUAAUGUGAAUUGCAGAAUUCAGUGAAUCAUCGAAUCUUUGAACGCACAUUGCGCCCCUUGGUAUUCCGAGGGGCAUGCCUGUUCGAGCGUCAUUAUGACCAAUCUAGCCUCGCUAGGUUUUGGGCUCCGCGGGUCCGCGGGUCUUAAAGUGAAUGGCGGUGCUCUUAGGCUCUACGCGUAGUAAAUUUUCUCGCUACAGGGUCCUAGGGGUUGCUGGCCAGCAACCUUAAUUUUUCUCAGGUUGACCUCGGAUCAGGUAGGGAUACCCGCUGAACUUAA